CAAUAGCGUAUAUUAAAGUUGUUGCAGUUAAAAAGCUCGUAGUUGGAUUUCUGUUGAGGACGGCCGGUCCGCAUUAUGUGCGUGUAUCUGGUUCGGCCUUGGCAUCCUCCAGGGGAACGUUCCUGCGCUUCACUGCGUGGGACGGUAUUCUGGACUUUACUUUGAGGAAAUUAGAGUGUUUCAAGCAGGCGUACGCCUUGAAUACAUUAGCAUGGAAUAAUGAGAUAGGACCUUGGUUCUAUUUUGUUGGUUCUAGAGCUGAGGUAAUGAUUAAUAGGGAUAGUUGGGGGCAUUCGUAUUUAAUUGUCAGAGGUGAAAUUCUUGGAUUUAUUAAAGACGGACUACUGCGAAAGCAUUUGCCAAGGAUGUUUUUCAUUGAUCAAGAACGAAAGUUAGGGGAUCGAAGACGAUCAGAU
rnacentral:rRNA from 1 species